rnacentral:sRNA from 1 species
AACCUAAGCCCCGCUCAUGCGGGGCAUGGUCUAAAAUCUCACGACGAUACUAAACCCUACGUUUAGCAACUCGUCGUGAGUCAUUUCCCGAAAGGGGCAUGUAGCCGCAAGGCUU